AUAAACAUCUGAUGAGCCACUUUCUUAACUACUUCAGUUGAAUUAUUAACAUUUGACUUGACUUCCUAUAAUCAUCAUUCAAAGGUCAUGACUCAAGAACCAAGCCUGGAGAGAGCUCUGCUUGCUCGACAUUAUUUAUUCAAGGUCGUACAUUUGCAACAGUUCAUUUUAUAGUAACAUCAAUAUCAACAGGUGUGAAUAUUAUCAUGGCGCUAUUAGUGUGCUACAUUUUCAAAAGGACUGGUUUCAAAGUUUUAAGGAAGAGGAGCGACAACCAAAGGC